rnacentral:rRNA from 1 species
GGGGGCCCGCACAAGCGGUGGAGCAUGUGGUUUAAUUCGACGCAACGCGAAGAACCUUACCUGGCCUUGACAUGUUGGGAACUUUCCAGAGAUGGGUUGGUGCUUCGGGAACCCAAACACAGGUGCUGCAUGGCCGUCGUCAGCUCGUGUCGUGAGAUGUUGGGUUAAGUCCCGUAACGAGCGCAACCCUUAUCCCUAGUUGCCAGCACAUUAUGGUGGGAACUCUAGGGAGACUGCCGGUGACAAACCGGAGGAAGGUGGGGAUGACGUCAGGUCAUCAUGGCCCUUACGGCCAGGGCUACACACGUGCUACAAUGGCGCGCACAGAGGGCUGCAAACCCGCGAGGGGGAGCUAAUCUCACAAAACGCGUCGUAGUCCGGAUCGCAGUCUGCAACUCGACUGCGUGAAGUCGGAAUCGCUAGUAAUCGUGAAUCAGAAUGUCACGGUGAAUACGUUCCCGGGCCUU